GAUGGAUGGUUGGACUGGGUGAUCUUGUGGGUCUUUUCCAACCUUGGUGAUUCUAUGAUCCCAUGAGAGAAUAAUGAGAAAAAAGGAAGGAGGAAGCCCUGAUGUCAUAGUGAAAGUCACAAAAGUGAAUAUGUGCCUUGCAUGGAUUUUGGGUGCACAGUGUAUCCAAAGAGAGGAGAGGAAGGCAACAGGUUAUUACUGAAAUAUAUGCAGGAAAUCAGUGGUCACAGCUGAAUAGGAAAGCUAAGAAGAAGAAGAAGGCAACAUUUAUGAGUGGCCAGAAGCUGCAAGAAAGCAAAGACAUUUCAAUUCUGGAUUUAACAGCUAGGACAAGUGCAAGAAAUUCCCUUCCUUGGAGCUAUGACUUACUGCCUACAAGCUAUUUCAGCUUUCAGCCAAGUAAAUGAAGAGUCAGAAGAAUCUGCAGAGGAAGUUGGAGGACAGACAAUGAUUUUGGAUACAUCAGGCUUGGGCUGGAGUGUGGAUCUGAGGCUGAAUUAUGUCCAGAUUUAA
rnacentral:lncRNA from 1 species